rnacentral:rRNA from 1 species
AACGAACGCCGGCGGCAGGCUUAACACAUGCAAGUCGAACGCCCCGCAAGGGGAGUGGCAGACGGGUGAGUAACGCGUGGGAACGUGCCCUUCGCUUCGGAAUAUUCCCGGGAAACUGGGAGCAAUGCCGGAUACGCCGAAUUGGGAAAGAUUUAUCGGCGAAGGAUCGGCCCGCGUUAGAUUAGGUAGUUGGUGGGGUAAUGGCCUACCAAGCCUACGAUCUAUAGCUGGUCUGAGAGGAUGAUCAGCCACACUGGGACUGAGACACGGCCCAGACUCCUACGGGAGGCAGCAGUGGAGAAUCUUGGACAAUGGGCGCAAGCCUGAUCCAGCCAUGCCGCGUGAGUGAAGAAGGCCUUAGGGUUGUAAAACUCUUUCGCCGGUGAAAAUAAUGACGGUAGCCGGAGAAGAAGCCCCGGCUAACUUCGUGCCAGCCGCCGCAGUAACAC